CAUCUGGUACUGGUUUACUGUUUGGCAUUAUUAUUCUACCAUAAAGUACUCCAGUAUUGUUAUAUUUUAAUUUUACUGUUGUGUGUUCUUGUGCUUGCCAAAUUUCAAUAUUUGUCAACUAUUUGUUCAGAGGUAGUGCUUGUUGGCUGUUGCAGGCCAUCAUUGAUCCAAAUUUGGCCUUUUCAGCGUGUGGGGAUAGAUAUACACCCAGAUACUAGCAAUAUGUGUUCCAAGAAAACUCGCAUUAGACUAUCUCCAGCAGACUCCCUGUUUCAAACUCUACUCUGCAAACAGUGCAAUU
rnacentral:misc_RNA from 1 species